AAGUAACCUUUGCCAUAUCACAUUUGCCAUAUUACACGCAAAAAAUAGGUGUUGAUGUGUUUCUGAUUCUGCUUUACACAGUGAGCAAAUUGAGUUAGUGUGAAUCCCCCAUUUGUCUAGCCUGUCUUUUGUGUACAAUCUCCUUAGUAUAGCCAAAUACAGGAUGAAGGUCCAUUUAGGACUGCCUUGGUUAUUGCAAAUCAUUCUUUUCCAUGGCACCUUGCUUAGUUCACCUCUAAGUUUUUUGUACAUAUCCUUGAUUGCAAAAGUUUCUGCCUCCAUCACCUCUAUCACUUGUAAUCUAGCUUCUGAGAUCCAAUGUCCAGCUUGUAGUAUUUUCCUCACAACCUAAAAAGCUUGAUUAGCUUGUACUUUCCAUGGUCUCCUAUCUUUGAUAUAGUAAGUAUGGACCCAUACAAUCCAUAACUUAU
rnacentral:lncRNA from 1 species